UGUUCUGGACCAUUAAACCACUAUCAUCUGUGUCAUGCAACCGGACUCCCAAUCGAGCUAAUCUAUGCACCUCUUUGGCCAACUCUCUCUUCUCCUUUUGCACAUGGGCUAAACUAUCCAUAGACAACCUACUCAAAGUAUCAGCUACCACAUUUGCCUUACCCAAAUGGUAGAGCACAUUCAUGUCAUAAUCCUUUAGCAACUCCAAC
rnacentral:lncRNA from 1 species